CCUACGGGUGGCAGCAGUGGGGAAUAUUGCUCAAUGGGGGAAACCCUGAUGCAGCAACGCCGCGUGGGGGAGGAAGGUUUUCGGAUUGUAAACUCCUUUUUGUAGGGAAGAUAAUGACGGUAUCUAACGAAUAAGCACCGGCUAACUACGUGCCAGCAGCCGCGGUAAUACGGAGGGUGCAAGCGUUACCCGGAAUCACUGGGCGUAAAGGGCGCGUAGGCGGUAUAGCAAGUCAGAUGUGAAAACCUAGGGCUUAACCAUAGAACUGCAUUUGAAACUGUGAAUCUAGAGUGUGGGAGAGGUAUGUGGAAUUCCUGGUGUAGCGGUGAAAUGCGUAGAGAUCAAGAGGAACACCAAUUGCGAAGGCGGCAUACUGGAACAUAACUGACGCUGAUGCGCGAAAGCGUGGGGAGCAAACAGGAUUAGAUACCCUAGUAGUC
rnacentral:rRNA from 1 species